rnacentral:lncRNA from 1 species
UCAGGUUUGCUGCAUUGGAGUGACUGUGAGCUCUCUGGAGGCUGGGAUGUCUCCUUACGCUCCCUCACUGAAAGUCAGAGCCUCUGUUACAGGGAGCCAUGAGCACAGAGCACGAGCCAUGCAUACUUGCUUCACCCACAGUAAAGCAGUACCUGCAGAAGGCCAGCAGAGGAACAACCCAAGAUACAGAUCUGAUUACACAGCAGCUAAUUUCAGAAUCACCUGAGCACCCAGCAUCUUUCUUCUCCUCUACACCUGCUGUCAGUAAGGCCACUCUCUAUUAAGGUUUCAAGAUACACAAUUUAAAUACCC